AAAUUGAAGAGUUUGAUCAUGGCUCAGAUUGAACGCUGGCGGCAGGCCUAACACAUGCAAGUCGAACGGUAGCACAGAGAGCUUGCUCUCGGGUGACGAGUGGCGGACGGGUGAGUAAUGUCUGGGAAACUGCCUGAUGGAGGGGGAUAACUACUGGAAACGGUAGCUAAUACCGCAUAACGUCGCAAGACCAAAAGAGGGGGACCUU
rnacentral:rRNA from 1 species